rnacentral:tRNA from 2 species
UAUAGAUUACCUAAAUUAAGGAUUAUUAUGAUAAAAUAAACAAGUAAAUUAAAUUUACAUCUAUUU